UACGGGGGGGGCAAGCGUUAUUCGGAAUUACUGGGCGUAAAGGGCUCGUAGGCGGCCAACUAAGUCAGACGUGAAAUCCCUCGGCUUAACCGGGGAACUGCGUCUGAUACUGGAUGGCUUGAGAUUGGGAGAGGGAUGCGGAAUUCCAGGUGUAGCGGUGAAAUGCGUAGAUAUCUGGAGGAACACCGGUGGCGAAGGCGGCAUCCUGGACCAACACUGACGCUGAGGAGCGAAAGCCAGGGGAGCAAACGGG
rnacentral:rRNA from 1 species